UCUCUGGAGGACUAGUGGUUAGGCCUUGGUGCUCUCACUACCGUUGCCCGGGUUCGAUUCCCAGCCAGGGAA
rnacentral:tRNA from 1 species